UGGUCGAUGAGGGUCGGGGAGAUGAAGUGGACAUGGGCGUCGAUGGCGCCAGCGGUGAGGAUCCUGCCGUUGCCCGCGAUGACCUCGGUCUCGGGCCCGAUGACGAGGUCGGGGUGGACGCCGUCCAUGGUGUCGGGGUUCCCGGCCUUGCCGAUGCCGGUGAUACGGCCGUCGCGCAGGCCGAUAUCCGCCUUGACGACGCCCCAGUGGUCGAGCACGACCGCGCCGGUGAUCACGGUGUCGGGGGUGCCCUCGGCGCGGCUGGCGCGGGACUGGCCCAUGGAUUCGCGGAUCA
rfam:Streptomyces violaceusniger Tu 4113, complete genome.